rnacentral:rRNA from 1 species
GUGGGGAAUAUUGGACAAUGGGCGAAAGCCUGAUCCAGCAAUGCCGCGUGAGUGAUGAAGGCCUUAGGGUUGUAAAGCUCUUUUACCCGGGAUGAUAAUGACAGUACCGGGAGAAUAAGCCCCGGCUAACUCCGUGCCAGCAGCCGCGGUAAUACGGAGGGGGCUAGCGUUGUUCGGAAUUACUGGGCGUAAAGCGCGCGUAGGCGGCUUUGUAAGUCAGAGGUGAAAGCCUGGAGCUCAACUCCAGAACUGCCUUUGAAACUACAUCGCUAGAAUCGUGGAGAGGUAAGUGGAAUUCCGAGUGUAGAGGUGAAAUUCGUAGAUAUUCGGAAGAACACCAGUGGCGAAGGCGACUUACUGGACACGUAUUGACGCUGAGGUGCGAAAGCGUGGGGAGCAAACAGGAUUAGAUACCCCUGUAGUCC